CGGGGACUAGCGCAGCCUGGUAGCGCGACUGUUUUGGGAACAGUAGGUCGUGGGUUCGAAUCCCGCGUCCCCGACCA
rnacentral:tRNA from 1 species